AUCCCUUUGUAGUUCAUAAGCAUGAUGAUCAGGUUUUCAGGCACAUGUGUGCAGUGUGUCUCCCUCAAACUUUGUUAGGAUGCCAGCAAGCUACCCAUCAGACU